rnacentral:rRNA from 1 species
UAACGAUACGGGACUCAUCCGAGGCCCCGUAAUCGGAAUGAGUACACUUUAAAUCCUUUAACGAGGAUCAAUUGGAGGGCAAGUCUGGUGCCAGCAGCCGCGGUAAUUCCAGCUCCAAUAGCGUAUAUUAAAGUUGUUGCGGUUAAAAAGCUCGUAGUUGAAUCUGUGUGCCACGCUGACGGUUCAUCGCUCGCGGUGUUAACUUGUCAGAUUGUGGUACGUCCUACCGGUGGACUUAGCCCUCACGGGGGCGGUCCAAUUAUCUCCCAUCGCGGUGCUCUUUAUUGAGUGUCGAGGUGGGCCGGUACGUUUACUUUGAACAAAUUAAAGUGCUUAAAGCAGGCUAAUUUCGCCUGAAUAUUAUGUGCAUGGAAUAAUGGAAUAGGACCUCGGUUCUAUUUUGUUGGUUUUCGGAACCCCGAGGUAAUGAUUAAUAGGGACAGAUGGGGGCAUUCGUAUUGCGACGUUAGAGGUGAAAUUCUUGGAUCGUCGCAAGACGGACAGAAGCGAAAGCAUUUGCCAAAAAUGUUUUCAUUAAUCAAGAACGAAAGUUAGAGGUUCGAAGGCGAUCAGAUACCGCCCUAGUUCUAACCAUAAACGAUGCCAGCUAGCGAUCCGCCGAUGUUCCUCCGAUGACUCGGCGGGCAGCUUCCGGGAAACCAAAGCUUUUGGGUUCCGGGGGAAGUAUGGUUGCAAAGCUGAAACUUAAAGGAAUUGACGGAAGGGCACCACCAGGAGUGGAGCCUGCGGCUUAAUUUGACUCAACAC